UACGAAGGGGGCUAGCGUUGUUCGGAAUUACUGGGCGUAAAGGGCGCGUAGGCGGUCAGCACAAGUCAGUUGUGAAAUCUCCGGGCUUAACUCGGAAAGGUCAACUGAUACUGUGCGACUAGAGUGCGGAAGGGGCAACUGGAAUUCUUGGUGUAGCGGUGAAAUGCGUAGAUAUCAAGAGGAACACCUGCGGCGAAGGCGGGUUGCUGGGCCGACACUGACGCUGAGGCGCGAAAGCCAGGGGAGCGAACGGG
rnacentral:rRNA from 1 species